rnacentral:lncRNA from 1 species
GGCCAAUACCAGGUACCCUACACCAUUGAUUAGUUAAAGAGUGGAAGUGCCAACCUUGUGCAUCAAAGUUCAGUGGGUACUCAACGUACCCAAAGUAAUGCUUACACAAGGGGGCAGGACCUAAUUCUAAGAGUAGUGUGAUUGUGAAGGACUUUGAAGAAGUUGAGUUGAAAAAAAAGUUUUAGAUGUAGGAUAGUUUAAGAAAAAAUAGUAGAGGAGUAAAAAUUUUAACUGAGUUUCAAAAUAAAACUACUUUGAGGCUAGUUUUGAAAAGCAAAAGUCACACAGAAAGGGGCAAAGGUAAAGGGGACAAGCAGCUGACACACAAUACAAUCAGACACACAUAAAAAGGGGAGGGUUCAUGCUUCAAACAGGAUGUCUAGUUCUUAUGGCACCAGACACCAAACAAGAUUAUCCUCAAAAGAGUUUUGAGGUUGUGGCGUAGCCAAGAGGAUGCUAGUAGUAUACAGAAACAAAGGGGAAAAUGCAUUGGGGGUAGGCAAGGGGGUAAUGCACAUGCUAGACUGAUUAAUUAGGCUUACUAGUUAAUACAGAUGCAUGCUAGUUGCAAUAGGAGUAGAAGAACCACAAGUGGAAGCACACAAGGAAGAAAAGAAAGUUCAGCAACAACAGAAGCAUAUUGUUUUUGAGGCUAUAACUUUAAUAGGAUACAUUACCGGUUGGAAAAUAAUAUAAACACAGGGCAGUAGUGAGCAAGGAAGUGAGCAGUAAUAUGCAGAGAGAAGUAGAGAGCAGAGCAGCAGUAUGCAGGAAGUAAGCACUAGUAUGCAUACCCAAAGCAAACAACACAGUAGAAGCCAGCAAAGUGAAUGUGACCAAGAUUUCUCAACUUUGGCUUGCAUCCAGUUGAGUGAUUAACAUUUAACAGGAAAAGUGAGAGGAUAUUGCGUAGAAAUAAAGAGCGCAGAGAUGUUUGUGUGAAAAGAAAGAGAGUUUAGAACAUUGAGUAUAAGUGAUAUGCAAUGUGUUCGUGGUGUCCUGCAAAGAGAAUGGGGGGGGGGUACUUAUAGUACUGAAAGAGAGUACACAAAUAAGGUAUGAGUCCCUUAAUUAAGGGACUGGUAUCAACCACAAUCCAGUCAGUAGUUGGACUUCCCUUUGAUUAAGUGAUCUCAAAUUAAACGGCAAUAAUCA